rnacentral:rRNA from 1 species
UACGAAGGGGGCUAGCGUUGUUCGGAAUCACUGGGCGUAAAGGGCGCGUAGGCGGCUUGCUAAGUCGGGGGUGAAAGCCUGUGGCUCAACCACAGAAUUGCCUUCGAUACUGUCUGGCUUGAGACCGGAAGAGGUAAGUGGAACUGCGAGUGUAGAGGUGAAAUUCGUAGAUAUUCGCAAGAACACCAGUGGCGAAGGCGGCUUACUGGUCCGGUUCUGACGCUGAGGCGCGAAAGCGUGGGGAGCAAAAGGG